CGCCCGAUAGCACAUGGUGUGCAACUGCCUGUCUUAGGCGGUAUGAUUUGUCAUUAGACUGCAAGAGGUUCCCGUUCGAUUCGGGAUCGGGUGA